rnacentral:rRNA from 1 species
AUUGAACGCUGGCGGCAGGCCUAACACAUGCAAGUCGAGCGGAUGAAGGGAGCUUGCUCCUGGAUUCAGCGGCGGACGGGUGAGUAAUGCCUAGGAAUCUGCCUGGUAGUGGGGGAUAACGUCAGGAAACGGGCGCUAAUAUCGCAUACGUCCUGAGGGUGAAAGUGGGGGAUCUUCGGACCACACGCUAUCAGAUGAGCCUAGGUCGGAUUAGCUAGUUGGUGUGGUAAAGGCCUACCAAGGCGACGAUCCGUAACUGGUCUGAGAGGAUGAUCAGUCACACUGGAACUGAGACACGGUCCAGACUCCUACGGGAGGCAGCAGUGGGGAAUAUUGGACAAUGGGCGAAAGCCUGAUCCAGCCAUGCCGCGUGUGUGAAGAAGGUCUUCGGAUUGUAAAGCACUUUAAGUUGGGAGGAAGGGCAGUAAGUUAAUACCUUGCUGUUUUGACGUUACCAACAGAAUAAGCACCGGCUAACUUCGUG